UACGGAGGGUGCAAGCGUUGCUCGGAAUUAUUGGGCGUAAAGGGCAGGUAGGUGGUCCGAUUUGUCAGGGGUGAAAGCCUUGGGCUUAACUCAAGGAGUGCCCCUGAAACGGUCGGACUAGAGUGCUGGAGAGGUUAGUGGAAUUCCCGGGUGUAGCGGUGAAAUGCGUAGAGAUCGGGAGGAACACCAGAGGCGAAGGCGGGUUGCUGGGCUGACACUGACGCUGAGGCGCGAAAGCCAGGGGGAGCAAACGGG
rnacentral:rRNA from 1 species